rnacentral:rRNA from 1 species
GGGGAAUUUUCCGCAAUGGGCGAAAGCCUGACGGAGUGACGCCGCGUGGGGGACGAAGGCCUUCGGGUUGUAAACCCCUGUCAGAGGGAAAGAAGGGUGUCGGCGCGAUAACCGCCGGUACUUGACGGUACCUUCAGAGGAAGCCCCGGCCAACUCUGUGCCAGCAGCCGCGGUAAGACAGAGGGGGCAAGCGUUGCUCGGAAUCACUGGGCGUAAAGGGCGCGUAGGCGGGAUGGCAAGUCAGUCGUGAAAUCUCUCGGCUCAACCGAGAAACGUCGGCUGAUACUGCCGUUCUUGAGGGAUGCAGAGGAGACUGGAAUUCCCGGUGUGGCGGUGAAAUGUGUAGAGAUCGGGAGGAACACCGGUGGCGAAGGCGGGUCUCUGGGCAUCUCCUGACGCUGAGGCGCGAAAGCGUGGGGAGCAAAC